GGCUCAGAACGAACGCUGGCGGCGUGCCUAACACAUGCAAGUCGAACGGAGUCAUGUAGCAAUACAUAUAUGAAGUGGCGGACGGGUGAGUAACACGUAGGUAACCAACCCUCAAGCGGGGGACAACCCAGGGAAACUUGGGCUAAUACCGCAUAAGACCACGGCCUGGGAUGGCUGAGGUAAAAGCUGCACUGUGAGCAAUUCACUUGAGGAUGGGCCUGCGGCCUAUCAGGUAGUUGGUAAGGUAAUGGCUUACCAAGCCUAAGACGGGUAGCCGGACUGAGAGGUUGAACGGCCACACUGGAACUGAGACACGGUCCAGACUCCUAUGGGAGGCAGCAGUGGGGAAUUUUGCGCAAUGGGCGAAAGCCUGACGCAGCGACGCCGCGUGGAGGAUGAAGGUUUUCGGAUUGUAAACUCCUUUUAUAGGGGAAGAUGAAGUGGGUAACCACUUUGACGGUACCCUAUGAAUAAGCCACGGCUAACUCUGUGCCAGCAGCCGCGGUAAGACAGAGGUGGCAAGCGUUGUUCGGAAUUACUGGGCUUAAAGGGCGCGUAGGUGGUGGCAUAAGUCCGAGGUGGAAGGCUGAGGCUUAACCUCAGAAUUGCCUUGGAAACUGUAUCACUUGAGUCAGCAAGGGGAUGGCGGAAUUCCCGGUGUAGCGGUGAAAUGCCUAGAUA
rnacentral:rRNA from 1 species